GCGAUUCUCUAGUACCGCAGCUAACGCGUGAAGUUCACCGCCUGGGGAGUACGGUCGCAAGAUUAAAACUCAAAGGAAUUGACGGGGACCCGCACAAGCGGUGGAUGAUGUGGAUUAAUUCGAUGCAACGCGAAUAACCUUACCUACCCUUGACAUGUCCGGAACCCUGCUGAGAGGCGGGGGUGCCCGAAAGGGAACUGGAACACAGGUGCUGCAUGGCUGUCGUCAGCUCGUGUCGUGAGAUGUUGGGUUAAGUCCCGCAACGAGCGCAACCCUUAUCAUUAGUUGCUACGCAAGGGCACUCUAAUGAGACUGCCGGUGACAAACCGGAGGAAGGUGGGGAUGACGUCAAGUCCUCAUGGCCCUUAUGGGUAGGGCUUCACACGUCAUACAAUGGCCGGUACAGAGGGUUGCCAACCCGCGAGGGGGAGCCAAUCCCAGAAAGCCGGUCGUAGUCCGGAUUGCAGUCUGCAACUCGACUGCAUGAAGUCGGAAUCGCUAGUAAUCGCGGAUCAGCAUGUCGCGGUGAAUACGUUCCCGGGUCUUGUACUCACCGCCCGUC
rnacentral:rRNA from 1 species